rnacentral:rRNA from 1 species
UACGUAUGGGGCAAGCGUUAUCCGGAUUUACUGGGUGUAAAGGGAGCGCAGGCGGCCUGGCAAGCCUGAUGUGAAAUACCGGGGCCCAACCCCGGGGCUGUAUUGGGAACUGCCAGGCUGGAGUGCCGGAGAGGCAGGCGGAAUUCCUAGUGUAGCGGUGAAAUGCGUAGAUAUUAGGAGGAACACCAGUGGCGAAGGCGGCCUGCUGGACGGUGACUGACGCUGAGGCUCGAAAGCGUGGGGAGCAAACAGG